AUGAAACCUCCCACACUAAAAUGACAGGUGUUUCAGUGUCAUUGUCCAACCCCUGUAUAUGGAGUAUGGGCAGUUGGUCAUACCAAGAUACAACUGUUUGUAGGUGCUCAAAUCGGAAGCUUUGGAGAUUUAUUUUGCCUUUCCAUCCCGCUCAGUGGAGAGAUCAACUUGUGUUGUCAUCCAGCCUUGUUUGUCACAGUUUCCCUUGUAUUUUUACUCUUAGUAUGUGUAUGUUUAGGUAAGCACUUUUGUUUUCUUGUCUUAUAUAGAUAACACACAUAGACCCUUAGACCAGUCACUCCAUGCUUGCUGAAAUGAAAAGUUGCUGUUUUGUGCAUGAAGUAUCAAACGUCUGCUCAGAAGUCAUCCCAAGAUCACAUACUAUUAAAUUUCAUCAUUAACUUCAUGUACAUCCUGUAAAAACCAACAUCACUCAGUUCAUUCAAGGUUCUCUGAAAAGUGAGCUCCACUCAUUAACAAAUUCACCUGAAUAAAAAUAUACCUUAAAUUUGAAAAGAUAAAACAUUUAAAUCCAUGUUUGUCAGGAUCUGUGUGCUGUUGUUGUUGUUGUUGCUCUGUGCUUGGCCUCUAGGUGGCUCUGGGGUCGUCAGGAGUGGUGGCAGGUGUUCCAUGUCCCAUUAAUCAUCCCUGGAGGGUAUUUAAGAUGGUUGCUGCCAGAGACUGGAUUACUAUACCAGACCUAACCUUUGAAGAAUUCUACCUGGAUGUUUUGCUACUGGAGAAAGGGUUUCCUAGCCACGAGGAUUGUAUUUGGCUUACCAACACUUUGCUUCCUAAGGGACUGCUGGCGGCCAAUCCGACAGAGCUUGUCCUGGAUCAACUACGAACCACCACAAGCGAACCUUGUCCACACUCCCACAUUAUAACAUCAUCAGCCGAACCUCUGAGUCACCUUAAGUGAGUCCAAGUACCUACCAGCUUCAUUCAUCUCAGUGUGCAGUUUCCAUUGCUGUCUCGCCCCUCCUGGCGGAUCAAACUCAACCCCUUAUUGUCCUCCGGUUCCAGUUCCACUCCCAAUAACUGUUUCCUGUAAAAUAAACCUUUGUAAACAUCA